CCUACGGGGGGCUGCAGUCGAGGAUUUUUGGCAAUGAGCGCAAGCUUGACCAAGCGAUGCCGCGUGCGGGAUGAAGGCCUUCGGGUUGUAAACCGCUGUCAGUGUGGAGGAAAGGUCGGUGUAGAGCCGAACUUGACUAAUACGCAGAGGAAGUGAGGGCUAAACUCGUGCCAGCAGCCGCGGUAAGACGAGUCUCACGAACGUUAUUCGGAAUUACUGGGCUUAAAGGGUGCGUAGGCGGUGGAGUAAGUCGGAUGUGAAAUACCUUAGCUUAA
rnacentral:rRNA from 1 species